AAACUUAAUUUUUUCGACUUCUUAUUGGAAUCAGCUGUAAACCCCCUUCUGUGCUCUGGCAAGUGAGAUAACUCAAUGUCCUGCAAUUUCCCCACCCUGGCCAGGACUGUGUCUGCCUGGAGGAGAAAAUUUCCUUCAUUUUCCUGAAUUGGUGAGAGUGGGGAUGGGGGAGAGUAGAGCUCCUUAGAGUCCCACCAAAUGCUUCAGUGGGCCUAAUAGCUCCCUAUGCCUUCUCAUCACAUGUCCCCAAGUAUAGUGGAGAGGAUCUGGGUUGAUAAGAAAUAAGAAAGUCACUAAGAUCAUCGAAAAUUCUUAUCUAAGAACAUACCAAUGUUAAGUA
rnacentral:lncRNA from 1 species